CUGCCCAGUGACCAUGUUUAACGGCCGCAGUACUCUAACCGCGCAAAGGUAGCAUAAUCACUUGUCUUUUAAAUGAGGACUUGUAUCAACGGCAUCACGAGGGUUCCACUGUCUCCUUUUUCUAAUCAGUGAAACUAAUCCCCCCGUGAAGAAGCGGGGAUAAACCUAUAAGACGAGAAGACCCCAUGGAGCUUUAAACCUAGCUGUACCCCUACACCCUUAUACCCCACCAGCCAGGGCCCUCAUGCCAGGUUUUAGGUUGGGGCGACCACGGAGCACAAUUAAACCUCCAUGAUGAACGAGCCUAGUCUCUUAUCCAUGAGACAUAUCUCUAAGAAUUAGUAUUCUAACGUAAAAUGAUCCACUAUUGAUCAACGGACCAAGUUACCCUGGGGAUAACAGCGCAAUCCAUUUCAAGAGCCCUUAUCGACAAAUGGGUUUACGACCUCGAUGUUGGAUCAGGGUAUCCUAGGUGCAGCAGCUACUAAAGGUUCGUUUGUUCAACGAUUAAAACCCU
rnacentral:rRNA from 1 species